CCCUUAGAUGUUCUGGGCCGCACGCGCGCUACACUGACGAUGGCAACGAGUUUUUCCUUCGCCGAAAGGUGUGGGUAAUCUUUUGAAACAUCGUCGUGCUGGGGAUAGAUCAUUGCAAUUUUUGAUCUUGAACGAGGAAUUCCUAGUAAGCGCGAGUCAUCAGCUCGCGUUGAUUACGUCCCUGCCCUUUGUACACACCGCCCGCCGCUACUACCGAUUGAAUGGUUUAGUGAGGACUCCUGAUUGGCGCCGCCGCCCCGGCAACGGAGCAGCGGACUGCCGAAAAGUUGUUCAAACUUGAUCAUUUAGAGGAAGUAAAAGUCGUAACA
rnacentral:rRNA from 1 species